AACUGAUUUGCUUAAUUUUUUUAUGAGUUAAAUUAGAUAUCUUAUUAUUAAUUAUAAGGUUUUAUUAGUAUAAUUAUAUAUAUACUAAGAUAUUGUUUUAGGUAAGUUUAUUUGUUAAACAAGAAUUAGAUACUCUUUUAUAAAUAAAUUUAUUUGUGGUUUCUCAGUUAUAACUGAAAGAAAUUGGCAGCUGGUUAUAUCCUUCUGGGGGAGUGUGUGUUUUAAUAGAUGUUCCACUUAUUAUUUUACUAUAGUUGUUUAGUUAGUGUAUAUCCGGUUUAGUUAUACAAAAUUGAUAUUUUGUGUAUAAAUAUUUUUUUUUAAUCCAGGUCAAUAUGCUGCUUAUAUUAUAGUUAAUAUUCACUACAUUAUAAUGUUAUAGGAUGAAAUAAUCUUAUGAUUUUAGGACUCAGUAGUAUUAUGAAAUUUUAGUUAGUUCAUGAGAAUUAGGUUUAAUUGGGGUACACAUCGCCCGUCAUCUUCGAUUUUUAGUU
rnacentral:rRNA from 1 species